CCUGGAGUCCCGGAAUCGAGUCCCGCAUCGGACUCCCUGCAUGGAGCCUGCUUCUCCCUCUGCCUAUGUCUCUGCCUCUCUCUCUCUCUAUCUCUCAUGAGUAAAUAAAUAAAAUCUUUUUUUUUUAAGUCUGUAUUAAAGUAUUAUUUAUGCUGAUUGUUGAAUUUUUGGUUGUCCCUAAAUUUUGUUCUUGAGGGAGGGCCUUCUAAUUCUAACCCUGCCUCAGAAGCUUCCAAGAAGCUUGUACAUGACCUCCCUCUAAAGAGGAGUGAAUGACUCCCCUCCAGAAGUAUGUGGAAGGAGUUGGAACACCCAGUCACCGUGUCCCUCUUCUCACUACAAACAGCUGGACCGAGUGCAGAAUAGAAAUGCAGGGCUCUCGUUCAAAAAUGAAGAAUUUUAGGAUGCCUGGGUGGUUCAGCAGUUGAGUGUCUGCCUUCAGCUCAGGGCGUGAUCCCAGUCCAGGGAUCGAGGCCCACAUCGGACUUCCUACAAGGGGCCUGCUUCUCCCUCUGCCUGUGUCUGUGCCUCUCUCUCUCAUGAAUAAAUAAAAUCUUUAAAAAAAGAGUUUCAAGAUGGCAGCAGCAGGGAGUUACACCAAGUGUUGGGUUCUUUUGAGCCUGGGGCCCUUGAGGCUGGCUCUGCUCUCAGCAUUGGCAAAGGCAGUCUCAUGUGGCCACUCGGACCUCUUGUCUUGCAGUUGCAAUUGCCUUUCUUUCUUUUUUAAAAAAAAUUUUUUUUUUUGCAAUUGCCUUUCUUCUCCAUCAGCCCCCCCAUGUCUACAGCUCAGCACUGCAGAUGCAGCACCUGUCUCAGCAGACCUCCGCACGCCCCUCUAAGGCAUCCAGCGCAAAGCUCUUCUGCACAAAGCAAGGUGCUGAGCAGACAAUCACAUCUGAAAAACCUCUUUCCGGCACAGCGCAUUUGGAAGUGGCUAGAAUUGUCAGAGACUCGCGGGGCUCCCAAAUUCUGUUGGUGUUCUCCACCGCUGGCACUCAGGAAGUCGAAGCUGCAGUUUAGAAAUCGAUUUUCAAGCCGGACCCGUGCAAGAAGGCCUCGCCUGGCUUCUGGUCGAAGCUGCCCAGGAUUAUCAAGGGUCUUUUUAAAAAGCUGCAGAUAGGAACGUUACUGCAUCCUCCUUCGAAAUCAUUCCAGAAGACUGGAUCUUUCAGAAGGGCUGACAUGGUAAACCCAACUUUCGAGCUUCAUUCUUGGAGAAAAAGGGACCUGAAGUAUCAGUCAUCUUUCCUCUUCUACUUGCCAAAAGCAGUUUCUGGCGCGUAGUGUGCCUUAAACGAGGGCUUGCUGACUUGCAUAACUGAAAAAAUGAACAAUGAGGAUGACUUAUUUCACCUUAUUUCCCUGUUUGCCUUCUUCCAAUAAACCCGGUGCCAGAUUUUAUGCUCA
rnacentral:lncRNA from 1 species